GACGAACGCUGGCGGCGUGCCUAACACAUGCAAGUCGAACGGAACUGUUUUGAAAGAUUUCUUCGGAAUGAAUUUGAUUUAGUUUAGUGGCGGACGGGUGAGUAACGCGUGAGUAACCUGCCUUCAAGAGGGGAAUAACAUUCUGAAAAGAAUGCUAAUACCGCAUGACAUAUCGGAACCACAUGGUUUUGAUAUCAAAGAUUUUAUCGCUUGAAGAUGGACUCGCGUCCGAUUAGUUAGUUGGUGAGGUAACGGCUCACCAAGACCGCGAUCGGUAGCCGGACUGAGAGGUUGAACAGCCACAUUGGGACUGAGACACGGCCCAGACUCCUACGGGAGGCAGCAGUGGGGGAUAUUGCGCAAUGGGGGCAACCCUGACGCAGCAACGCCGCGUGAAGGAUGAAGGUUUUCGGAUUGUAAACUUCUUUUAUUAAGGACGAAAAAUGACGGUACUUAAUGAAUAAGCUCCGGCUAACUACGUG
rnacentral:rRNA from 1 species